CAAGGCCCACAUCCUAGAAAAACUUAAUAUAUAAAAAUAAAAUAAAAAUAAAAUAAAAAAAUAAAAAGAUAGUGGAUAACGGUACUCCUUGAAGAAGAAGGAUAGGAUUUCAAAUUUCAAGGGGUCCACUCGUAUUGAGACACGUGGCCAGGGGAUAAACAUAAAGCAAAACCAAACUUUCUCUUUCACUACCUCACGUGAAAAACAGCAGGGCAAUGUUUCCUUUUAAGCAAAAACCCAA
rnacentral:lncRNA from 1 species